rnacentral:rRNA from 1 species
GAUGAACGCUAGCGGCAGGCCUAACACAUGCAAGUCGAGGGGUAUUACACUUUCGGGUGUAAGAGACCGGCGCACGGGUGCGUAACGCGUAUGCAAUCUGCCUUUUACAGGAGUAUAGCCCGGAGAAAUCCGGAUUAAUCCUCCAUAGUAUUAUGAUAUGGCAUCAUAUUAUAAUUAAAGCUUCGGUGGUAAAAGAUGAGCAUGCGUCCUAUUAGUUAGUUGGUAAGGUAACGGCUUACCAAGACAUCGAUAGGUAGGGGUCCUGAGAGGGAGAUCCCCCACACUGGUACUGAGACACGGACCAGACUCCUACGGGAGGCAGCAGUGAGGAAUAUUGGACAAUGGGCGAGAGCCUGAUCCAGCCAUGCCGCGUGCAGGAAGACAGCCCUACGGGUUGUAAACUGCUUUUACAGAGGAAGAAUAAGGGGUACGUGUACCCUGAUGACGGUACUCUGUGAAUAAGCAUCGGCUAACUCCG